UGAACGCUGGCGGCGUGCUUAACACAUGCAAGUCGAACGAGAAAGGGAUUGCUUGCAAUCCUGAGUAGAGUGGCGCACGGGUGAGUAACACGUAGAUAAUCUACCUUCAAGCCUGGGAUAACUAUUCGAAAGGAUGGCUAAUACCGGAUAAAGUUUAUUAACAUAAGUUAAUUUAUGAAAGAUUGCCUCUUCUUGAAAGCAAUUGAUUGGAGAUGAGUUUGCGGACCAUUAGUUUGUUGGUGGGGUAAAGGCCUACCAAGACUACGAUGGUUAGCUGGUCUGAGAGGAUGAUCAGCCACACUGGAACUGGUACACGGUCCAGACUCCUACGGGAGGCAGCAGUGAGGGAUUUUGCGCAAUGGGGGAAACCCUGACGCAGCAACGCCGCGUGAGUGAAGAAGGCCUUUGGGUCGUAAAGCUCUGUCGACAGGGAAGAAAUUAACAUCAUCCAAUAGGUGUUGUUAUUGACGGUACCUGUAGAGGAAGCACCGGCUAACUCC
rnacentral:rRNA from 1 species